CCAAUAGCGUAUAUUAAAGUUGUUGCAGUUAAAAAGCUCGUAGUUGAAUUUCGGGGUUCUACCGUUGGUCAGGCUAUUGUCUGUACUGGCGUGUAGAAUUUCUACCUUCUGGGGAACUAUCAUGUUAUUAAUUUAGCGUGGUAGGAAACCAGGACCUUUACCUUGAAAAAAUUAGAGUGUUCAAAGCAGGCUUAUGUCUGAAUACAUUAGCAUGGAAUAAUAAAAUAGGACGGUGGUCCUGUUUUGUUGGUUUCUGAAUCACCGUAAUGAGUAAUAGGGAUAGUUGGGGGCAUUAGUAUUCAAUUGUCAGAGGUGAAAUUCUUGGAUUUAUUGAAGACUAACUACUGCGAAAGCAUUUGCCAAGGAUGUUUUCAUUAAUCAAGAACGAAAGUUAGGGGAUCGAAGACGAUCAGAUACCGUCGUAGUCUUAACCAUAAACUAUGCCGACUAGGGAUCGGACGAUGUUAACUUUUCUUGACUCGUUCGGCGCCUUACG
rnacentral:rRNA from 1 species